rfam:Gossypium raimondii Chr11_contig_650, whole genome shotgun sequence.
UAUUAAAACUUUCAUCCAUUUGUACUGUUAAAAACUAGUGUGGCUAACUGAAUAACCAGACAGUAACACGUGGUGUGCCAUGUAUACUUUAUGAUGACAUAUAGAAACUAAUUUUUAACUGUAGAAAUUGAUGAAAUUUUUAACA